CAGACAUUGUGGUUCAAUGCCGCCAUAUCGCACCCUGGCAUAUAAAUAACCGGUGUGCAACAUGAAGGAACAAGCCCAAAUAAAUCCUUUGGAUAGAAAAAGCAAGCUGAUUUGGGGAAGGCAGCUGCUUCAAAGUUUCUGUGCAACUUUACAGAAGCACCGCCGUCACUUGGAGAAGCUCUUGGUCUGCUGUUCUUACAGUGCCUUGGAUAGUGCGGUCAGAAGGGGCAGGCGAUGGCACCAUGACCCCACUGCAGCCUGCCCAGACAUCCUGUAAUGAGUCUGUCAGUCUGUCCUCAGCCAAGAAAUGCAUCUUCACAUCCUAUGUGACGAAUUUGCUAGAAGGUGAAUGCAAUAUAACCCUUGGCAGAUUCUUCCUGGUAUAAAUGAGGUCUUAUUUUGAGGAAUCAUGAUUAAAUUGAAUCAAGAACAGUCACCUUUCUGAUUAUAAGCUGAAGGUAGUCUCUGAUUUAUUUCUCAUGAUGCAUUUGGUCAUGUUCUGUUGUCUUUGCAAAUCUGUAUUUUUAUCGCAGUGACAUGUUCCUCAGGUUUAGGUUACAUUUCUAAUAAAUAUCCGAUGCCUUGUUGAUUUCCUGUAUCA
rnacentral:lncRNA from 1 species